rnacentral:rRNA from 1 species
GACGGAGGAUGCAAGCGUUAUCCGGAAUGCUUGGGCGUAAAGCGUCCGCAGGUGGCAGUUCAAGUCUGCUGUCAAAGACCGGGGCUUAACUUCGGAAAGGCAGUGGAAACUGAACAGCUAGAGUAUGGUAGGGGCAGAGGGAAUUCCUGGUGUAGCGGUGAAAUGCGUAGAGAUCAGGAAGAACAUCGGUGGCGAAGGCGCUCUGCUGGACCAUAACUGACACUCAGGGACGAAAGCUAGGGGAGCGAAUGGG